UUAGUUAAAGCUUUAAAGAAGCAGGUUAUUGUUAAUAUCCAGAUGAAAUACUUUUCUAACUAAU
rnacentral:tRNA from 1 species